rnacentral:rRNA from 1 species
AGAACGAACGCUGGCGGCAGGCUUAACACAUGCAAGUCGAGCGCCCCGCAAGGGGAGCGGCAGACGGGUGAGUAACGCGUGGGAACAUACCCUCCGGUUCGGAAUAGCUCAGGGAAACUUGGAUUAAUACCGGAUACGGCCUAGCGGCGAAAGAUUGAUCGCCGGAGGAUUGGCCCGCGUCUGAUUAGCUAGUUGGUGGGGUAAUGGCCCACCAAGGCGACGAUCAGUAGCUGGUCUGAGAGGAUGAUCAGCCACAUUGGGACUGAGACACGGCCCAAACUCCUACGGGAGGCAGCAGUGGGGAAUAUUGGACAAUGGGCGCAAGCCUGAUCCAGCCAUGCCGCGUGAGUGAUGACGGCCUUAGGGUUGUAAAGCUCUUUCGCUAGGGACGAUAAUGACGGUACCUAGACAAGAAGCCCGGCUAACUUCGCGCCAGCAGCCGC